CCUACGGGAGGCAGCAGUGAGGAAUAUUGGUCAAUGGACGAGAGUCUGAACCAGCCAAGUAGCGUGAAGGAUGACUGCCCUAUGGGUUGUAAACUUCUUUUAUAUGGGAAUAAAAUGUUCCACGUGUGGGAUUUUGUAUGUACCAUAUGAAUAAGGAUCGGCUAACUCCGUGCCAGCAGCCGCGGUAAUACGUAGGAUCCGAGCGUUAUCCGGAUUGAUUGGGUUUAAAGGGAGCGUAGGUGGAGUGUUAAGUCAGUUGUGAAAGUUUGCGGCUCAACCGUAAAAUUGCAGUUGAAACUGGCAGUCUUGAGUACAGUAGAGGUGGGCGGAAUUCGUGGUGUAGCGGUGAAAUGCUUAGAUAUCACGAAGAACUCCGAUUGCGAAGGCAGCUCACUGGACUGCAACUGACACUGAGGCUCGAAAGUGUGGGUAUCAAACAGGAUUAGAUACCCUGGUAGUC
rnacentral:rRNA from 1 species